CCUACGGGAGGCAGCAGUGGGGAAUAUUGCACAAUGGGCGCAAGCCUGAUCCAGCAACGCCGCGUGAGCGAAGAAGGUCUUCGGAUCGUUAAGCUCUGUCCUUGAGGGAGAAGGAAGUGACGGUACUCAAGGAGGAAGCCUCGGCUAACUACGUGCCAGCAGCCGCGGUAAUACGUAGGGGGCAAGCGUUAUACGGAAUCAUUGGGCGUAAAGAGUACGUAGGUGGGUGUGUAAGCGCGGGGUGAAAGGCAGUGGCUUAACCAUUGUAAGCCUUGCGAACUGCAAGACUUGAGUGCAGGAGAGGAAAGCGGAAUGCGUGGUGUAGCGGUGAAAUGCAUAGAUAUUAGGAGGAACACCAGUGGCGAAGGCGGCAUUCUGGACUGUAACUGACACUGAGGUACGAAAGCGUGGGGAGCAAACAGGAUUAGAUACCCGGGUAGUC
rnacentral:rRNA from 1 species